UCCCUGGCGGUCCAGUGGUUAGGACUCUGUGCUUUUGCUGCGGAGGGCCCAGGUUCGAUUCCUGGUCGGGGAA